AUCCCGUGGCAAACAAGCAGAAAACCGUUAACCCACAAUCCCUUGUGCCUUCAGGAUGGACGGGAUAGAUGAACGUGAUGUUUUUUCAACCUUUGCAGGACGGAGACAAUGGCAGACAGCUUCUCAGCCAGAGACACAGCUUGCAAUCCCGCAGAGCCGCGAACGUGAGAUUGGAGACGUGUCUAGACAGCAUAUUUAGACAACCAGAAAGGAAACACAGAUGUCCCCGGCUCCCGAUACCAGUGCUACGUGGCUCUGUGCUCUCUGCUGCAUCUCCCUUCUUGAUCGCCCGGGACGAGAGCCACGAUACCCAGCACGCUGGAGGCACUGGAUUUCUCUGCUGAUCAGAGGCAGCUCUCAUCCCUCACAGGACCUGCCCCGCUCCCGGGAUUUAAAGGCCGUCUCCUCGUCAACCGGGCUGUUCCCGACAUGUGCAAAAAUCUCUCCCUUCUGGACCUCCCUGGCCAAGGACGACUUCCUUCUCUCGCCUCUUGGCAGCCCGUGCCGACCAUGCCGCCCUGGGGACGGAGACCCGCAGAGAGGGGCAUGCACUGAGGGUGAGCGGUGACUCCACGGACAUGAUACGUGGGACGGGAAAAGAGCCACGUCCUGCAAAAUUGCACGAGCUACCAGGGCGCUGGCGGCCGAGAUGGAUCCUCUUGGGGGUUGGGUUGACUUAGAGCUGGUUGGGUUCCUGGAAAGGCCAUGAGCGAGGAAGUCGAUGGCCCCACAGCGGGACGAAUCAGAGUCAGUCGCGCAGAGAGGGCUACAUUAACCUCCUUCCUGGGUAUUUUUACUCAGAGAGAACAAGUUUUCUCCAAGAAAAGCCCUGAGGACAAACCCCAAACCCCGCAAAUGGAUACACCCCCGGGCGGCCUCCAGUCUGACAGCCAUCGCCCCCUCGGCCACACGCUGCCUCCCAUCUGUCCCUCCGCAGGCCCCCCCACGGCACCUGUAGCAGAACAUCAAACCCCCGCAGUCACCAAACCCUGGAUUCUUAACUUUGAGAAGGAACCCGUCCAACUUGGCUGAAACUCUUCCGUGGCUGGGGAGAGAGAACAACGCCAGAAAUAGAAGUCUCGAGAACUUUGGGGGAUAAUAAGAAGGAGGGCUACAGAUGGCGAGAUAUUUUUCAAUCCUGUGAUUAAUUCUUAAUGAACUUUUACAUUCCCGCAAACAGAACUGAAUCAGCUGGUAACUCCCUCCCAGAAGAGGGGCAGGACUUCAAAGGAAAGUUGCUUUUGGCUCACAGAACAAAACAGAGCAACAAUUCAAAACAAAUGUUAAUACAAGCAGUUCUAACUCAGACGGAGAUUGAGCUCCAAAAGCUCAUUUUUGGACAUUUGUGAAGCCCUGCGACCACUUCCUCUGAAAGCAGACACAUCCAUACAUCAGAGAUGAGUGAGGGGGAAAAAUGGUCUGUGUCUCGUUCUGUCAUGGUGUUUGAAAUGCUCUGGGCGCCGGCCCAGGAGCGAACCCCCCUACACACACAGGGUCUUGUGGGGAGAUCCCUGAGCUUGAGAUCCAGUGGCCAUGACCUCGUUUUCAAGUUGGAAAAAGCACAGCCUGCAGUGGUGUGGAGGGAGGAAGUUUUGGGCUGGCCGACCCCCUCUUGAAAGUUCUUCCCCCUGAAGGGAUUCUGAACUGGGACGGGACAAAGCAGGAGGUUUUAGAGUAGGUUUUCCUGAUGCCUGCUGAAAAGGUAUUGUGUCCAUUGAAUUCAAUGCUAGUAAGGCAAGGACUGCCUGUGGGGCAGAGCAGUGUAGAGGAUAGGACAGGUCUCCACUCCCCCAUUGUCAUCGCACCUGAAUCCACCUGCCCUCCGGUGUUGGCUUUUGCAUCCUGUUAGAAACUUGGGUCUGCCAUUUCUGUACUCACAUA